CAAAUGAAUGAGCUGAAAAUGCUUGAUUGUAUAACUAGGAGACGAGGACGGGAUGGAGAGAGAGGUAUUGCUGCCAAGACCAUGUGCGAGAUUUUUCGUAUUGCAAUCAAACACAUGAUUCGAAAACAAUAAUUUGUUUUUGAAAUUGUUGUCAAAUGCUAAUGUCGAUCCCCCUAGCAGUUAGUAAUUGCAAUUAAUUGAAGUAGAUAAUAAGCUUUAAUAUUUAUAUAAAUCAUAUCGACAAAUAGACAGAUACAGUUGUUUAAAUGAAUUCCGUAUUUAUGAAGUGCUCUAGUUAGUAAAAGUUACUACUUAUCUUUAUAGGAUUCUUUAUAUAGCUGAUAUGCAGCACUUGCGUUACUUCGGACUUCAAAAAAGCGCUAGAUAUAAAUUGCAGAAAUAUUUACCCAUGGUGACGUCAGUGUAGAUGAGAUUUGUGACAAACUAUCUUUGACAUAAAUUGAAGUCGGUUCUUUAACCAUAUAUUUACUAAAUCAUCUUGUUUAUUAUUUGCAUAAGCUGAAAAUCGUAAAGAAAACUUAAUGAAUAAACAACUUGAUUUUCUCAAAACAUACGCUCAAUCUAACGCUCGCUCAUUUUACGGCUGACAAGUUUGGGGUGAAAUUAUGGGAUUUUAGCAGACGAAAACAUGUUACGUAAUAAUAAUAGGCGUGCAAAGUACGUGGACUCUGUAUUCUUAAAUUUCUGCUCAUGCACAACAAAUAUUCUGCAAUUUGUAAAUAUUUGCUAACUAAGGAAAAAGGAAAAAGGAGAAACUUCAACAUUGAAUAUUAAUACUAAAAAGAUAGAGACUUCUGAUCAGUGAUCGGUAGACACUAAGUAUGAGUGGGACAAAUUAUACUAAGGAAGCGUGGAAAACCGCGAAUCCUAUUUUGGUAUGAAAUACAACCAUCGGUAGCAACGUUCGCAAGAAAACGACAUACAACUGACGCUACUUACCACAAAACAAAUGCCGCACACAAAGUCAUUGUUACGACAUGCAUCCGUGCAUCCGUGCUCCUAACAAUGCAGUUAGAAGCAAUUUUCGUUUUCAUGCAUUAAAAGUGAGGUCGUUAAUCAAGAGCCACAAAAAAUUGUUCGCGGGCGCAUUUGGCCGCUGAUCCGAAAAAACGGUUCACUAUCAAAAGCGGUGUCAAAACUAUUUUAAUGUGGUGUCGUGUGCUUGAUGGAUUCUAUAUACAACGUACAUGUUUUAUACUUAAUUAGAUGGUGAAUUAUUGAUUAAAUAAUUUAAUUACUUAGAAGCUACAAAACGUGACAAGGACUGACAAAUCAGACACGUUUGUCAUACCCCAAAAAAAUAUAGGUUAAGAAACUCAAUUUUAGGGAUAUACUAAUAAUUUAAAUACCUAAAUGAUUUUUUGUUUUGUCUUGUAAACUUAUACUAUUAUAUAUUUUUAUCAGAAUUUAGAUAUUUUCCUAAAACUUGCAAAAAAAUGACUUUGUAUUUUACUUCCCGGUAUGUUUCAUCGGUCGCUUUACCCAUGCUGAUGUUGUGUUGCUUGAUGAUGUCGUGUGACGUCGCAAAUGCACGCAGCGAAAGAAUAAGAAAGUGCGGAAACGAGGCAACAUCGUUUUUGAAAUGGUUCUGUCAGAAUCCAACGUUUGAAUUUCCUUUUGAUUUCUCAAAAGUGCAUGUUGUGUUGCGUUAUCAGCCGCCUCGAAAAGAGCUUUAUCCUUUCCAAUAUCAAGCUGCUGUCUGCUGUAAAAUGGGCUGCAAAGAGUAUGAGUUUCGUCGAUUGUGUAGAUACCAAAAUUUGCAUGAUUUAUGUACAAAUGGUAUCAAUAUUCGCACAAAAGAAGGAAGAGACUCACGAGCACAAUGUUUGCUUCAAGUUCACGGCUUAGCAGCUGCUCCUAAAACUAUAGCAUACAGUGGAAAAUGAAGGAAUUGAACUGAUAAUGAUAAAUCAAUAUACAUACCUAAUUUUGUCGUUUGUGUAUAUCUAUAUUCUUGCAGAUUUUUGUAUUUUUGAAGAAGCUUUUUUAUUUUAAAGAUUCAAAAAACUUGGAAGAAUCACACCAAAAGUAAAAUUGGGGUUUCAGUAGUCGUUAGCGUUUUUAUCUAUUUGUUUCAAUUAGUUUCAUUUUUUUUUAAUUAAUGUCAGAUUUUGAUAGGAUGUAAAAUUAAUACUCGAGUAGAUCAACCAAUUUGGGCCAGAUGAUGACAUUGAAAAUAUUCAAUAUAUUUAAUUUUUGUUAUUAUGUUUUGAACCGUAUUUAUAUUUUCAAUGGAAGAGUUUGUUUGCAAAUUUUAUUUGUAUUUUUUGAAUUAUUUAUUCUCAUUAAAACCAGGAAACGCUAUAUGUCAAUUUUAAAGAUUUGUAAUUUAAUGAUGCAACAUAUCCUAUAUAUUAUAAAGAAUUGCUUCAAAGAGUUCUUCCUAUUCAGGAUGCAUGGAUUAUAUUACAUUUGAGUGCAAUUGUAUUUUAAUGACUGAAUGUAUUUAUUUCUGUUCAGAAAUUUCCAUAAAAGUAUAAAUAGUUUUAACGAAUUAUUCUGUGAAAAUGUUAACGAAAAGUACCAUAUUCCGUUUAAGUGGAAUAGCAUUAUUUCUAUAUUCUCUAUUCUUUGCGUCAUCACAAGUUGAAGGGGCAAUACCACCGAAGCGAUGGGUUAGAAAAUGUGGACAAGAAUCGAAGACGUUUCUACGAUGGUAUUGCAAAGAUAAUUCUUUCGUAUUUCCAUUUCCGUUCCGCCAAGUUCAUGUUGUUCUGCGCUAUCCAGCCCCGAGAAAAGAGCUAUUUCCAUUUCAGCACCAAGCUUCUGAAUGUUGUAAACGCGGGUGCCAGGAAAGUGGAUAUAUCAAAAUGUGUUGGUAUCACAAUAUCCUCAAACAUUGCGAGAGGCACAACAACCACCAUACGGAGGAAGGUAGACAAAACCGUGCAAACUGCCUUCUGAAAUUAGAAAAAGUCAAAAGAUCCUAUGAAGUUGAACAAAUACCCAGGCUAACGAAAACUCAAAUUGCAAGCGAUCUUGCAUUAGAAAGCUCAUGAUCAUUUAACUUAUCAACAUAUAUUUAAAAAAACAUGUGUGCACUUUUUUGUAAAGGUGCAAUUGGCUGGCAGCUGGCGUGUUACGCAAAUUUUUUCAUGACAUCGCGGAACCAAGCACGUAACCCAAAAUUUUAAAAUUGGGCAAAUCUCUUUUCCAGCUGUAAAGGUCGCGAUCUCAAUGACUGUCUAUUUAACAAAGAUAUGACUGCAAACUAUUUUUUGCAGUUGAAUUUUUAAUAUAACAUGGUGUGGAGGGUAUUCGGAGGAAGAUUUCAAAAUGUUCUAUUUUUUUAUCCAGCAAUGCCAGUCAAAAUUAUUUUCAAUCGCCACAUAUUUUGGCUCAUUAUGUACAUAUUGCACUGUAAUAUUUAUGAACUUUACUUUCUGUAAUUUUAAAUUUAUUAUCAUGAUUAUUUAUACCCAAUUGGGCUUUCUGUUUCUUGUGUGUAUUACUCAUUUUUUCUAUUUAUUUAUUUAUUGGAUUAUUUAAAAAAAAUUCUUGUAUUGUUAUAGUGAAUUGGAUUAAUCGUUCAAUUCAUUUGUGCCAGAUAUACCCAAGUAAAUAAGAAAAUCGCCAUGCAAAAUAGGAUUUGCCGGAAAUUAAAUAUAUCUCAUGAGGAAAAUUUUGUAAUGCUUUGUGAAUGACGUUUUUCAAAAAAUAUUUUUACGUGUAAAAUUAUAGAACUUUAACAACUGUGAUAUUUUGCGCAGAAAUCACAGGGGGAGAAUUAUCAGAACAUGCAGAAUAACUUUGGAAUGACUUAUUGGCUUUAAUUAGGAUUAUAUAGAGCAGAUAUUUUUGACCAUUCUUUAAUUGAUACAUUAUUC